rnacentral:rRNA from 1 species
AGAGCGAACGCUGGCGGCAGGCCUAACACAUGCAAGUCGAGGGGCCGUAGCAAUACGGCACCGGCAGACGGGAGAGUAACACGUGGGAACGUGCCCAUCAGUUCGGAACAACCCAGGGAAACUUGGGCUAAUACCGGAUACGCCCUUACGGGGAAAGAUUUAUCGCUGAUGGAGCGGCCCGCGUCUGAUUAGCUAGUUGGUGAGGUAACGGCUCACCAAGGCGACGAUCAGUAGCUGGUCUGAGAGGAUGAUCAGCCUCACUGGGACUGAGACACGGCCCAGACUCCUACGGGAGGCAGCAGUGGGGAAUAUUGGACAAUGGGCGCAAGCCUGAUCAGCCAUGCCGCGUGGAUGAUGAAGGCGUUAGGGUACGUAAAAGUCCGUUUCGGACGGGAAGAUAAUGACGGUACCGCAGAAGAACGCCCG